UGAAUAAUAACUCGUGUGUGUUAAAGUAAUUUAAAUACCAAAACAAAAACAAUAAAUGGUAUUACUUACUUUCAGUCGUUAUUCCUUCGAUGCUGAAUUGUUUACUCCAAUCGAUACAAGUCACAUUCGCCCACUAAAUGCGCAUGCGUGUUUUCCAGGAAGAGCAAAUAUGAUUGGACAGAUUCAUGGGGCGCCGUGCCAAAUCUCGCGAGAAUGUUAAUGAGACAGAUCCACAUCUCAAAAUUUAGAUAAAGUUGAUUUUCUCCUUGUAUGUCCAUCUGAAAAUAGCCAUUUUUGGCUAUGUGUAACUUUCAAAGGAAGGCAAUUCAGAAAAUUCACGCCUUCUAUCAGACAGCGGCGGACAUGACGCGUUGUUUGCCAUCAACGUCAGAAGAAGAAGAAGCGGGAAAACAGUAGGUGGCGUAACAUUUUAACGUUGUGUGCGCCGACCUCGAACGAAAACGAGGAAGAAGAAGAAAGAGAAGAAGAAGCGGGAACGUUUUUGGAAACGACAACCGCAACGCUUGUGACAGAAGACUUGGAGAGGAUGGACAAAAAGAAAAUGACAACAUAAGAGGUUAAGAGUUCCCACAAAGAAAAUGAAGGACCUGCAUAAUUCUCCUCCCCCAAAUGACCAAUCUGGGUGUUUGGCCUUCGUCAGAUGGGAGGACGGUUAUACCGGCAAAAUCUUUACUGGAGCAGACAUUUUGUCAAGAGAUGAAGCUCCUGUGCAGAUCUUAGAUCUUAGAACAUGUUUUAGCAAAGUGGUCAGAUGGUAAAUUUUAUAGGGCAACUGUUGAAUAUAUUUCAGGAAAAGUGACGGGGGACUUGUAACAGGCAGCAACACUGUUGGACCACCACCACCACCCUAUGGGAGAGAUGCAGGCAACCCAUCUGUCGAGGACACUAUCUCAUAUCGACUGCAGACAGAAAAAUCAUGGACGCCAUGUGAUGGAUGUUGGGAGGAGUUCGAAAAAAUCCUGCGAGAAAAGCAACAAACCGAAGAAGUCCUCUUGA